rnacentral:lncRNA from 1 species
GUUGUUGCCUUUGCCAGUCAAGAGAAAUGGUCUCCUUUGGGUUGUGGGGUGUGUGAUGGUCUAGAAAGNCCAGGGGACCGUGCCCGGUCCUCCCGCUGGGUGCCCGAGCUGCGGCAGCAUCACGCAGAGGCAGCGCUGCUGUCACCAGCGCUCCCGGCUCCCAGGUUUGCCCGGCGCGGGAUCAUCCCCCGGAGAGCCCCGCAUCCCGGCGGCAGCACCGAGCCUCGGCGAUGCGGCUCCAAGACUGACCCUGCUGAGAGCCCCUGAGUUACUGAACUCUAUGAGCAGAGACCACUUGACUGCACUCAGCACCUUUCAGGACCAGGCUCUAGGAAAUGGUCAGAGGAGCGAAAGGAGCAUCACCAUUUUGAAACAAAACCAAGGGUACUGACACCCGGGGAGCGACGCUGCCGGAGUCCCCGCGCAGCCACGGCAGCCGAGGGGCGGACGAAGGUCGGCACCUGGAGAGGGAAGGUGGGUCGGAUGCUGUCUUUUUGCCUUCU